rnacentral:rRNA from 1 species
CGGUAGGCUUAACACAUGCAAGUCGUGCGAGAAAGUAUCUUCGGAUAUGAGUAGAGCGGCGGACGGGUGAGUAACGCGUAGGAAUCUACCUAGUAGAAGGGGAUAGCCCGGGGAAACCCGGAUUAAUACCGUAUACCUCCUUCGGGAGAAAGAA